GUGAGAACGUUUUUAAGAGAUGCGUUUGGUGCCUUCGGGAACUCUGAGACAGGUGCUGCAUGGCUGUCGUCAGCUCGUGUUGUGAAAUGUUGGGUUAAGUCCCGCAACGAGCGCAACCCUUAUCCUUUGUUGCCAGCGGUUCGGCCGGGAACUCAAAGGAGACUGCCAGUGAUAAACUGGAGGAAGGUGGGGAUGACGUCAAGUCAUCAUGGCCCUUACGAGUAGGGCUACACACGUGCUACAAUGGCGCAUACAAAGAGAAGCGACCUCGCGAGAGCAAGCGGACCUCAUAAAGUGCGUCGUAGUCCGGAUUGGAGUCUGCAACUCGACUCCAUGAAGUCGGAAUCGCUAGUAAUCGUAGAUCAGAAUGCUACGGUGAAUACGUUCCCGGGUCUUGUACACACCGA
rnacentral:rRNA from 1 species